AGUGGGCAACCAUGAGUAGAGUGGCGAACGGGUGAGUAACACGUGAGAAUCUGCCCUUUUGUGGAGGAUACCCUGAAGAAAUUUGGGUUAAUCCUGCAUAAGCUCGAGAGAGGAAAGGUGGCUUUAUGCUACCGCAAAAGGAUGAGCUUGCGGCCUAUCAGCUAGUUGGUGAGGUAAUGGCUCACCAAGGCGUAGACGGGUAGCCGGUUUGAGAGAAUGAUCGGCCACACUGGGACUGAGAUACGGCCCAGACUCCUACGGGAGGCAGCAGUGGGGAAUAUUGCACAAUGGGCGAAAGCCUGAUGCAGCGAUGCCGCGUGAAGGAUGAAGGUUUUCGGAUCGUAAACUUCUGUUAGGUGGGAAGAAAGACCCUUGGCGAAUAACCAAGGGGGAUGACGGUACCAUCAGAGAAAGCCCCGGCUAACUUCGUGCCAGCAGCCGCGGUAAUACGAGGGGGGCAAGCGUUAUUCGGAAUUACUGGGCGUAAAGAGCGUGGAGGUGGCCUCUUAAGUUAUUUGUUAAAUCCUACGGCUUAACCGUAGGCCCGCAAGUAAAACUGAGAGGCUAGAGGAUGAAAGAGAGGGGUGGAACUCCUAGAGUAGCGGUAAAAUGCGUGGAUCCUAGGAUGAACGUCGGUGGCGAAGGCGGCCCCUCAGGUCAUAUCUGACACUCGAGCGCGAAGGCGUGGGGAGCAAACAGGAUUAGAUACCCUGGUAGUCCACGCAGUAAACGAUGAUCACUAGAUGUUGGGCCAUUUUGGCUCAGUGUCGAAGCUAACGCGUUAAGUGAUCCGCCUGGGAAGUACGGUCGCAAGAUUAAAACUCAAAGGAAUUGACGGGGGCCCGCACAAGCGGUGGAACAUGUGGUUUAAUUCGACAAUACGCGAGGAACCUUACCUGGUUUGACAUGCU
rnacentral:rRNA from 1 species